rnacentral:lncRNA from 1 species
CUGUGCUGAGCCUCUGGAAGGGGGAAAGCAGUCUAGUCCCGCAAUGCUUUAGGAGGAUGAUAAUGAAAGUGAAGCAGUUUGCCUGUCCAGCCUUAGAUCUCCGCAGUCUUGGUGCCUUCCUGCCAUUCAGUCUCCUGCUGAGGGAGCAAUCAAAGAGUGAGAUCACCAGGAGAUGUUUUUGCGCAUGAUUUCUCCAUUCCUAAGGAUUGUUUGUCUGCCCCUGAACA